rnacentral:rRNA from 1 species
UACGUAGGGUGCAAGCGUUGUCCGGAUUUAUUGGGUUUAAAGGGUGCGUAGGCGGCCCAUUAAGUCAGCGGUGAAAUCCCAGGGCUCAACCCUGGAACUGCCGUUGAUACUGGCGGGCUUGAGUUCGGUCGAGGCGGGCGGAACUGGUGGUGUAGCGGUGAAAUGCAUAGAUACCAUCCAGAACCCCGAUUGCGAAGGCAGCUGCCUAGACUGUAACUGACGCUGAGGCACGAAAGCGUGGGGAGCGAACAGG